GAAUCUGGCUUCAGGUUCGGGACAACAGUUGGAAACGGCUGCUAAUACCGGAUGUGCCUUAGGGUGAAAGAUUUAUCACCUGAAGAUGAGCUCGCGUCUGAUUAGCUAGUAGGUGUGGUAAGAGCGCACCUAGGCGACGAUCAGUAGCUGGUCUGAGAGGAUGAUCAGCCACACUGGGACUGAGACACGGCCCAGACUCCUACGGGAGGCAGCAGUGGGGAAUUUUCCGCAAUGGGCGAAAGCCUGACGGAGCAAUACCGCGUGAGGGAGGAAGGCUCUUGGGUUGUAAACCUCUUUUCUCAGGGAAGAAUGAUGACGGUACCUGAGGAAUAAGCAUCGGCUAACUCCGUGCCAGCAGCCGCGGUAAUACGGAGGAUGCAAGCGUUAUCCGGAAUGAUUGGGCGUAAAGCGUUCGCAGGUGGCAAUGUAAGUCUGCUGUCAAAGCGUCUGGCUCAACCAGAUAAAGGCAGUGGAAACUACAUAGCUAGAGUAAGGUAGGGGUAGAGGGAAUUCCUGGUGUAGCGGUGAAAUGCGUAGAGAUCAGGAAGAACACCGGUGGCGAAAGCGCUCUGCUGGACCUUAACUGACACUGAGGGACGAAAGCUAGGGGAGCG
rnacentral:rRNA from 1 species